rnacentral:lncRNA from 1 species
CUAUAUUGAUUUCGAUGUUUUGCAUUUUCCUUCAUCCGCUGUAACUGCUGCUGGUGACAUUUCAUGCUCCAAGGAUUAUGCUGCUUAAGCUGUGAACUAAUAUUUCCUUUUUUCUCUACAGUAUAAUACAAAACUUCAGACUUCUUCAGCCACUCAAAUUCUUCCUCUAACUUAUGACUUUUCAUUUUUUCCUCUUUCCUGUGCUGUCGGACCCACUCCUUCGGUAUCUUCUCAUUUUCUAACAACACUGUCUUUUUGUUAGUCCAUCGCAACAGCUUACUUUUGGGUUCACAGUCAGAAUUAUCUAAGUUUUCCAAGUUAUCGUGGUCCCCAUUUAAUGGAUAUGCUAUUAGACAUAAGUUUCCAUCUUCAUCCUCUUCAAAGCUCACUGACACCACACCCUCAUACUGCGGAGUGAAUUUACGCAUUUCUGUUGG